rnacentral:tRNA from 1 species
GGAAGUGGAGCUCAGUGGUAGAGCUCUUUCUUAGCAAACACAAGGCCCUGGGUUAGAUCCCCAGCACCCCCA